rnacentral:lncRNA from 1 species
UGAAAAUUGAAGUGUUGGUUACAGUGCAUGGUAGAACGAUGAGUUUGAGAAUAUAAGGGAAAAUUAGUGGAGGAGAUGAUACAAGGAAAACCUGACAAAAAGGAGAACGAGGAAAGAAAUAAAAUAAUGAGAUGGGUAAGCCUAUUCCGAGGCAAGGAAGUGAAGGCCAUUAACAGUCUAUCCAUUCAAGUUUUUCUUUGCUUUUAAAGAUUUCACCAAAUCUCAUCCUGCUACUAGGAGCCAAGCCAUGGCCCAUGGCUAUUAAUAUAUUUAUUUUAUAUAUAAUCUCCUAAUCAAUAUCAUAUU